AAGUUGGUCGCACUUUAUAGAUAUUUAAACUUUGAUGGAAGAAGUCAGAAGAAGUGACAGUUGAAAUAUGACUGCGAAACCAAUGUUUCGCUUUUGGAAAUUGAAGGCAAUUUUAUAUUUUUUGAAUGAAUUUCAGUCAUAAUAUAUCUAAAAGCUCUCUCAGAUCUUCGUCUUCCUCAAGCAAAAGUAUUUAUCAACCGGAAGAAAUAAUAAAACUUGAAAACAUAAUUGCAGCUCUUCAACAUAACAAUGAAACUUUAAAAAAAUCUUUGGAGAAGAGGGACACUGCGAUAGCAAUUUUAACCCGAGAGAAAGAAAAUAUAUACAAAGAACUAAAGUGCGCACAGAGGACAAAUCGAAAUCUGUAUCAGCAGUUGACAGACGAGAGGGAUAUACAUUUUAAGGAGAAGGAAUAUUUGUUACAAGACAUUAAAAGGUUAUCUGUAAGACGUGAGACAAACACAAUCUUUGAAACUCGUUGUGAAGGAGAAAGAAUAUUUCCGUCAUUGGAAGAGGAAAUCCAAGAAAAAGAUCACAUAAUUUACAACAUAUGUACCAAAUAUCUGAAAGUUAAAUCAUGCAAAAUGUCGCUGCAAA